GCUCCUGUAGUGUAGUACGGCCAAUCAUACUGGCCUUUCGAGCCAGUGACCCGGGUUCGAAUCCCGGCGGGAGCA
rnacentral:tRNA from 1 species